GAUUAUGACAUCACAACUUCAACAUCAUAACUUCACUGCAGUGUUAAGCAGGAGAGAAAGUAAGCUGAGGAAAACAAAGCUCUUGUUUUAAACACUUCCACUUUUCAUUAUGAGCAAGUAUGUCAAGAAAUAUAAUGGGAAAACAACUGUAAGACAAAUGACCAUGGAAAUGGUUGAAUCGCAACAGGAUGGAAGUGCAACAGAUUCUGUGGCAGAGAGCGAUGCUGUUUGCAUACAAAAUCAACCAGGCCAAAGUCAGAUUCCCCCCAUAGCUCAGGUUUCUGUAGCUGGCUCUAGUGCUGGGAGAGGAUCUCCAUCUGUAACUCUGGUACAGUUGCCUUCUGGUCAAACUGUACAUGUCCAGGGAGUGAUUCAAGCCACACAGUCAUCAGUGAUUCAGUCACCACCAAUGCAGGCUGUUCAGGUAGCAUCCGUUGCAAAUGCAGAGGACUCUGCAGACUCAGAGGGUGUAACUGAUUCUCAAAAACGUAGAGAGAUUCUUUCAAGAAGGCCUUCAUAUCGAAAAAUUCUGAAUGAACUAUCUUCCGACGCUACUGGUGUCCCUAAGAUUGAAGAAGAAAAGUCAGAGGAAGAAGGAACACCUUCUGGCAUCCCUGCAAUGGCAGUACCAACCAGUCUGUAUCAGACUAGCACAGGGCAAUACAUUGCCAUAGCCCAAGGUGGAGCAAUCCAGAUUUCUAAUCCAGCAUCUGAUGGUGUCCAGGGACUGCAGACUUUAACAAUGACAAAUUCAGGAGCUCCUCAGCCAGGUGCUACCAUUGUUCAAUAUGCAGCACAAACACCUGAUGGCACACAGCAAUUUUUUGUACCUGGAAGCCAAGUUGUUGUCCAAGGACCCAACCAUGUACUGGGCCAUGAGGAAUACACCAUUCAUGAAGUUUUAGACUCCAACUUAAAUAAGCUGCCACUGGAGACAUGCCAACUUACCAGAUCCGAACUCCCACUACAGCCUUGCCUCAAGGAGUGGUAAUGGCAGCCUCUCCAGGAACUUUGCACAGCCCUCAGCAGCUAGCAGAAGAGGCAACACGCAAAAGGGAGCUGAGACUUAUGAAAAAUAGGGAAGCUGCUAAAGAAUGUCGACGUCGGAAGAAAGAAUAUAUAAAAUGUCUGGAGAGUCGAGUUGCAGUGCUAGAAGUUCAGAACAAGAAACUUAUAGAGGAGCUUGAAACCUUAAAAGACAUUUGUUCUUCCAAAACAGAUUAGUAGAAAUAUUUAUUAUGCUGUGAACUGAUUACAACAUGUCCAGUUGCUUUUGAAGACAAUACUUAGAUAAUAAGAAUUACGACUUUUUCUUAGUGUCAUUUAUCUUAUGCUUUGACCCCAACAUUCCUGAAAUACUUUUUUGCAUUUGUAGAUUCUUAGCUGUAAAUUCAUUUUUUUCCCCCAACGGAGACAGAUGUUAAAGUAUGUGUAACAUGGUUGAAAGUGCAACAUUUAUAAGAGCUGUCCCAUUGCCAUAUAUUUGCAUUUACUACUUUUUAUGUGUUAUUGAUUGUGUCCGCUACACAAAAAUAUUGCACAGGUGUUUUAAAGUGAAUCAUCAAAGAUAAUGCAUCCAGUAAUACAACAAAAAUAAACUACCCAAAGUAUCUCAGGAAAUAGUUUAUAUAAAGUAUGCUAUAAUUACAUGAAUGUAUCAGACUACUAGACUACUGAUAAAUGAAUUUAUGGCCUAUUUUUCUUAGUUGCUUUGCCAAAAAAAUAUUAUAUUUCUGUCACUGAGUACCAUAGUUGAAGACAGUUUUUAAUAGAACAAUGUUGUUUACCCUUUGUAGCAUUUAUUGUUUAUUUAAAUAUCUGGCAUGCUUAGGCUGUUUUUAAACUGAUGGUGCGAUAUGAAAAAUACCUUGGAGAAGUUUUUAGUAUUAACUUUAUAUAACAUGAGCAAGCUCUUAAAUAUUAUAAUAUUUUAAAUACCUGGGUGAAAUUUCAAAUACCUGUUAGAUGGCUCCUUGUUACCUUUACUUCAAGCAUUAUACAAAAUAUCUGAUGUAAUAGUGGAUUAUGUGUCAGAAUUGACUUUGCAUCUUGACUGCUAACUGAUCAGUAUUCUGAACAGGACCAAGCUGUUAAUUAUAAUGGGGGCUGAUAUGUGGAAUCUUUUUUGUCUUUCUGUGAGAUGGCAAAAAGGACAGAAAUGUUUUUGUUUUUUUUUUAAAUAAGGGAGGCUCUCCAAUCAACAUUAGCUCUCUGCUGAUUUAUGGUGUUCUGCAGUGACUUUUGAGAGCUGAAUGUUUUAAAAAUAAAUCCAUUCUAAAUUGGUUGAAAAUUCUGGUAAA